rnacentral:misc_RNA from 1 species
AACUUGUUUAAAUAUUUUUUUAGAACAUGGAUACCCCCAGGAGUUGGAUGUAUGCUAGGAAGUUUCCAAAUGGAUUAUUGAACCCAGAAUUUCUUCAUGGGUUGGAAGCAUUUAUCAAUUUUGCUUGUAGCAAGCUGAAAUUUAUGGAUGGGAGUAAAAUAAAAUGUUCGUGCACGAAGUGCAUAAAUCGAAAGUACCUACCUGUGGAUGAUGUCAAAUUUCAUCUUGUUAGUAAGAGUUUUAGACCCAAUUAUCUAAAAUGGACUGCACAUGAUGAAUCAUUGAGUUCUUCAGCGUAUGCCACUGAGGUCAAUGUUCCAAGGCAAGAACGUUUCCAAGGUGACACUGACCCUUACCGUAGUAUGUUGUUUGAUGUUGCUGGUCCCCAUUUCAAAACAUUGCAGCGAAUCUUCCUUUACUAGAUAAUGAAGUUGAUAAUAUGGAAGAACCGCCAAAUCCAGAAUCACAAAAAUUUUAUGAUAUGCUAAAAGUAACUGAAGAGGAAUUGUGGCCUGGUUGUGAGAGGCAUUCACAAUUAUCUACCGUAGCUCGAAUAUUGCAUAUUAAGUCAGAAAAUCAUUUGUCUUAUAAAUGCUAUGACCAGAUUGUGAAUUUCGUGAGGGAAGUAUAACCAAAUGAAAAUAAGUUUGUUGAUAGUUUUUAUAAGACAAAGAAGCUUGUACGGGGAUUGGGUCUACCUGUGGAGAAAAUUGACUGUUGCAAACUUGGUUGCAUGAUAUAUUGGGGAGACGAUAAUAUUUUAACUGAAUGUAAAUUUUGUGGGCAGCCAAAAUACAAGCCUCAAAGGGGAUCAAGUAAGGCAAAAGUAGCAUGCAAGAGGAUGUAUUACUUUCCUUUGACACCAAGGCUUCAGAGACUCUGUGCUUCUAAAGCAACAGCUGCAAAAAUGCGGUGGCAUAUUGAGCAUGACAUGAAAGAUGAUGCCAUGUGUCAUCCGUCUGAUUCUGA